AUUGAACGCUGGCGGCAGGCUUAACACAUGCAAGUCGAGCGAGCGGCGGACGGGUGAGUAAUGUCUGUGAACCUGCCUGAUGGAGGGGGAUAACUACUGGAACGGGUAGCUAAUACCGCAUACCAUCAGAUGUGCGCAGGUGGGAUUAGCUAGUAGGUGGGGUAAUGGCUCACCUCGGCGACGAUCCCUAGCUGGGCUGAGAGGAUGACCAGCCACACUGGAACUGAGACACGGUCCAGACGCCUACGGUAGGCAGCAGUGGGGAAUAUUGCACAAUGGGCUCAAGCCUGAUGCAGCCAUGCCGCGUGUGUGAAGAAGGCCUUCGGGUUGUAAAGCACUUUCAGCGAGGAGGCGUUACUCGCAGAAGAAGCACCGGCUAACUCCGUGCCAGCAGCCGCGGUAAUUC
rnacentral:rRNA from 1 species